AACGAACGCUGGCGGCAUGCCUAACACAUGCAAGUCGAACGAGACCUUCGGGUCUAGUGGCGCACGGGUGCGUAACGCGUGGGAACCUGCCCUUAGGUUCGGAAUAACUCCCCGAAAGGGGUGCUAAUACCGGAUAAUGUCUUCGGACCAAAGAUUUAUCGCCUUUGGGUGGGCCCGCGUUGGAUUAGCUAGUUGGUAGGGUAAAAGCCUACCAAGGCGACGAUCCAUAGCUGGUCUGUGAGGAUGAUCAGCCACACUGGGACUGAGACACGGCCCAGACUCCUACGGGAGGCAGCAGUGGGGAAUAUUGGACAAUGGGCGAAAGCCUGAUCCAGCAAUGCCGUGUGAGUGAUGAAGGCCUUAGGGUUGUAAAGCUCUUUUACCCGGGAUGAUAAUGACAGUACCGGGAGAAUAAGCGCCGGCUAACUCCGUG
rnacentral:rRNA from 1 species